rnacentral:tRNA from 1 species
UGUAGCUCAGUGGUAGAGCACUUGCUUAGCAUGCAAAAGGCUCACUCUGGGGUCAAUUCUCAGCA